rnacentral:rRNA from 1 species
UACGAGGGGGGCGAGCGUUAAUCGGAAUUACUGGGCGUAAAGCGUGCGCAGGCGGUUUUGUAAGUCAGAUGUGAAAUCCCCGGGCUCAACCUGGGAACUGCGUUUGAAACUACAAGGCUAGAGUGUAGCAGAGGGGGGGUAGAAUUCCACGUGUAGCAGUGAAAUGCGUAGAUAUCAGGAGGAAUACCGAUGGCGAAGGCAGGUCUCUGGGCUGACACUGACGCUCAUGCACGAAAGCGUGGGGAGCAAACAGG